rnacentral:rRNA from 1 species
UACGUAGGGUGCAAGCGUUAUCCGGAAUUAUUGGGCGUAAAGAGCUCGUAGGCGGUUUGUCGCGUCUGCUGUGAAAACUGGAGGCUCAACCUCCAGCCUGCAGUGGGUACGGGCAGACUAGAGUGCGGUUGGGGAGAUUGGAAUUCCUGGUGUAGCGGUGGAAUGCGCAGAUAUCAGGAGGAACACCGAUGGCGAAGGCAGAUCUCUGGGCCGUAACUGACGCUGAGGAGCGAAAGCAUGGGGAGCGAACAGG